UCUGAUACCAGUGAAAAUGUAGUCUCGACAAACUGUCACGGACACAAAAUAGAGACUUGAAAUCUAAGAAGAAGUUCAAGAAGAAGUGGCAAAACUAGAUUAAACAGAUGAGUACAAGAACAACACCAGAAAGGUGAGCUAGAACUCCAAGAGAUGUGUUGUCGAGACUGAAGAACCCUUCAGCCUCGACUCCUAUAUAUACUACUGAAUAGGAAGCUUCUCGAGCUACUUCCGCUAACUAGGACGCUUCUCCA
rnacentral:lncRNA from 1 species